UAGUAGUGGGUGUAGCGUACCUACUAGCCUACGACGGGUACGGGUUGUGAGAGCAAGAGCCCGGAGAUGGAUUCUGAGACACGAAUCCAGGCCCUACGGGGUGCAGCAGGCGCGAAAACUUUACAAUGCUGGCAACAGCGAUAAGGGAACCUCGAGUGCCAGGUUACAAAUCUGGCUGUCGAGAUGCCUAAAAAGCAUUUCAUAGCAAGGGCCGGGCAAGACCGGUGCCAGCCGCCGCGGUAACACCGGCGGCUCGAGUGGUAACCGUUAUUAUUGGGUCUAAAGGGUCUGUAGCCGGCCGGAUAAGUCUCUUGAGAAAUCCAGCAGCUCAACUGUUGGGCUUUCAGGAGAUACUGUUCGGCUCGAGGCCGGGAGAGGUGAGAGGUACUUCAGGGGUAGGGGUGAAAUCUUGUAAUCCUUGAAGGACCACCAGUGGCGAAGGCGUCUCACCAGAACGGACCUGACGGCAAGGGACGAAAGCUAGGGGCACGAACCGGAUUAGAUACCCGGGUAGUCCUAGCCGUAAACGAUACUCGCUAGGUGUCGGCCACGGUGCGACCGUUGUCGGUGCCGUAGGGAAGCCGUGAAGCGAGC
rnacentral:rRNA from 1 species